UUUGCAAUGGUGGUUAGAAUCUGUCUCCAUGGUAACCUCUCCAAAGUCACAAUCAUCCGUUUGUUCAUCGGACUCAGACACAAUCAUCCUUGAAGACACGCCUACCAGAAAGCGUCAGAGGCUGGACUCUGAAGCUAUGCAACUGGUGAAAUCCAUUCUUACCAAGAAAUCGGGUGGAGAAAUAUAUAAUAAAUGAAUACAACCGAACUAAGUCCUUGACAGAACAGAGCAGAAGAAAAUUGGUGAAUAUACUGGCAGCUGAGAUGACGGAGAAGAAUGGGUAAGCUGUUUAUUGGUUUUGAUUGGCACAUGUGUUCUUAUUUAGGUUUCAGAGUAAUCUAAAGUAAAUAAUAAACAUUUCACUUCAUCUUAUAAAACGUGUGUAUGACGAAUAAACUUGAAUGUGAUUUUUUUAAGUACCUCUCCGUCAAGACAGUUGAAGGAAAUGUAUGCACAAGGAAUUGUGAACUUGUUCCCCAACCUCAGAGACCCAUUUUCCAAGAAUGGCUAUGAACAUUUUUAUGGAGAAUUAAAACUAUUCAGAGAUGCAGUGCUAAAGAAAGGCGAUCAUCAUUUGGAGCUUUGGCGGAAGGACCAUCUGAUGAAGACAAGUCGGGAGGACCAACUGUUGGACGAGUUACCCAAUUCCAUCCAGAGAUUGUCCUGUCUUGGAAGAGAUGUCACUGAUGAAAGAUUCGGCUGACGUGGACAUGGUCAUCAAAAAGAUAAAGCUGACAUUUGCCCAUCGGCAUAACAUGGUCCUGGACCAACAGCAGUCAAGCAACAUUCUAUCUUAUUUUCCUCGUUUUAAAGACAUCAAUGGCUUGGUUGAACAGGAUUUGGUUGUAAUGUUUGGAGAGGAUUAAUCGUGCAAGUUUCUGGAGAAGUGGUCAACCACAUUCAAAAAGAAGACCUUCCAACAAUGCAGAAAGCUUCCCUCCAAUUUUGAGCUUGAGGAACUCCUGAUGGCAGCUGACCCUCCUGAGGAUGGGGCUGAAGUGAAUGUUGACUUUGGUUGGGACAGCGACCUCUCAUCGAUUUUGCUGCUCUUACACUUGAUCCCACCGACUGCUCUAGGUCAGAAGAGGCCAGGAGAAGUUUCUGCAUCCCGGGCUGAGAAGCAUCUUGUGGUCUUCAAAAAUGUUUGUAUUGUUCUCUAAUGAAGGACAUUUAGUUUACAAUAAUUUAUGUAAUCAUUUCUAUUAUAUAACCACAACCGUGUCGAUUUUUUUUAUUCUUCUCACCAUAGACUGGAUAAAACAUCCUAGAACAUCUUGACACCAUUAUUACCAGCACUCAACCCUAUAUCCUGGCUGUUGGAGUGAGGAAGAAUACAAUCCACGAGUUCUUCAUAAUUCUCGACAAGAAUGCCGUACCUUGCAGGUCACACUCCUCUCUCGGUGCUUUUGAUGAACUGUUUAAAGCACAUUUUGUUUGCGACAUCAUACCACACAAUGCUCCACAACAUGUACACAUUCAUGCCUUACUCCAAACCAUUUGAUGUUCAAAUGGCGUAUGGAACAUCAUGUUCCUCAUUGUAUGUUGUCCCAUAUUGCCAUUUCAUGCAGACCUAAGUUCACCCUUUAUGUAUUCUGUCCCUAAAGUUGAUUGUCCUGCCUGACAAAUAAAUAAAGGUUACUAAACAUAUGAUAUUGUAUUACUGUGUUUUGCACUCACUUGCUAUUUACAAGACAAGGUUGGUGAGACUUAAUUUGACACUGCACAAGAGUAAAUCAAGUAGAAUGAGCGCCAUUUUUUUUUUCAGAAAUAGUGUGAGGUUUAAUAAAAACUGCAAUGUUUAGCACAUUUUUACUGUUUACUAAAUAUUUUUUUCUU